UACGAAGGGGGCUAGCGUUGCUCGGAAUCACUGGGCGUAAAGGGUGCGUAGGCGGGUCUUUUAAGUCAGGGGUGAAAUCCUGGAGCUCAACUCCAGAACUGCCUUUGAUACUGGAGAUCUUGAGUCCGGGAGAGGUGAGUGGAACUGCGAGUGUAGAGGUGAAAUUCGUAGAUAUUCGCAAGAACACCAGUGGCGAAGGCGGCUCACUGGCCCGGUACUGACGCUGAGGCGCGAGAGCGUGGGGAGCAAACAGG
rnacentral:rRNA from 1 species